rnacentral:rRNA from 1 species
UGAGGAAUAUUGCGCAAUGGGCGAAAGCCUGACGCAGCCACGCCGCGUGCAGGAAGACACCCCUCUGGGGCGUAAACUGCUUUUGUACGAGAAGAAGGCGCCGCUCGGCGGCGAUUGACGGUACCGUACGAAUAAGGACCGGCUAACUCUGUGCCAGCAGCCGCGGUAAUACAGAGGGUCCAAGCGUUGUCCGGAAUCACUGGGUGUAAAGGGUGCGUAGGCGGGCCGGUAAGUCAGAGGUGAAAGCCCGGGGCUCAACCCCGGAACUGCCUUUGAUACUGCCGGUCUUGAGUCCUGGAGAGGCUGCCGGAAUUCGUGGUGUAGCGGUGAAAUGCGUAGAUAUCACGAGGAACACCGGAUGCGUAGGCGGGCAGCUGGACAGGUACUGACGCUGAGGCAC